rnacentral:rRNA from 1 species
CGUGAAAUUGUUGAAAGGGAAGCGUUUAUGACCAGACUUGGACUUGGUUAAUCAUCUGGGGUUCUCCCCAGUGCACUUUUCCAGUUCAGGCCAGCAUCAGUUUUCCCCGGGGGAUAAAGGCGGCGGGAAUGUGGCUCUCUUCGGGGAGUGUUAUAGCACGCCGUGUAAUACCCUGGGGGGGACUGAGGUUCGCGCAUCUGAAAGGAUGCUGGAGUAAUGGUCAUCAACGACCCGUCUUGAAACACGG